AUGAGUUACAGAAUUCUACUGUUGAUCGCAUCGUUGCGUCCGGACGAUAUAUAUCUAUACGUUUUUAAUGCACGAGAUUAAUUGUAGAAUCGUUUCUCCGAUUUUCUGGACGACGACGAUCAUGGCGUAUCCAAUCGAUUUGAAUUCGAGCGAAUAAUGAGAAGCGCAGUGGCGAUUACAUCAGAUUAUACCUCGCGAGAAUAGUGCAGCGUGAAGUUGCAUUCGAACGAACUGGGGCCAAACCGUUCGAUUUGAAUCCGAACGGUUUCGAUGGGUGAAUCAUGUUCGUUAGACGCGCGUUUCUGCGUACGCUUUUCGUAAUGAGGUUUUAAUGGAGGAUAAUGAUGUGUAUAUACAUAGUUACAUUCACAUAUACAAUAUUAGGUAUGUA